ensembl:lncRNA
GAAGAAGGGAGGGGUAUGGAGAUAAAUGUGAGGAGGUUGGGGAGAGGUGUGGGGAAGCUGAAGGGAAGUUUGGGAGAGGUGUGGUAGUCAUUAUGAGAGGUUUAGGAGGUGGUUAGAAGGUAGGAGAGAUGGGGAGGUGGUGGAGGAAUGGGGACUCAUUGAUGUCACUGUAAAGAACAUGCCAAUACUAUUUCACCAGGCGUUUGAGCUGUUGAUUUGAAUUCAUUUGAGCAGUGCUGAGUUUAAUUUCGUCUGACAGUGUGAUAUAUUUUGGCCCAGUUUUAGCCUUCAUCCAUAACCCCUACUCCACUGCCAGAACAAAUGACUAACACAUGCUAUAUAUAAGCCACUAGAUGACAGAGGCCCGCGGGAGCAAGCAAUUCAACACGUCAUAAUGAAUAUAAAUACUUCCAUUCCAGACAUGUCAGAUUGAAUGUAAACAUUUCUAGACUAGUUAGGUGUCACUACUACCGCUAUCACUGUGUGUGU